AUUGAACGCUGGCGGCAGGCCUAACACAUGCAAGUCGAACGAGAGGCGGCCGGGUGGGUAAUGUCUGGGAAACUGCCUGAGGGAGGGGGAUAGCUACUGGAAACGGUAGCUAAUACCGCCUACCAUCGGAUGUGCCCAGAUGGGAUUAGCUAGUGGGUGGGGUAAAGGCUCACCUAGGCGACGAUCCCUAGCUGGUCUGAGAGGAUGACCAGCCACACUGGAACGGAGACACGUGCCAUACUCCUACGGGAGGCAGCAGUGGGGAAUAUUGCACAAUGGGCGAAAGCCUGAUGCAGCCAUGCCGCGUGUGUGAAGAAGGCCUUCGGGUUGUAAAGCACUUUCAGCUGGGAGGCGUUACCCGCAGAAGAAGCACCGGCUAACUCCGUGCCAGCCGCCGCGGUAAUAC
rnacentral:rRNA from 1 species